UACAGAGGUCCCAAGCGUUGUUCGGAUUCACGUGGCGUAAAGGGUGCGUAGGUGGUGAGGUAAGUCGGAUGUGAAAGCUCCGAGCUCAACUCGGAAAUGGCAUUGGAAACUACCUUGCUCGAGGGUUUGAGGGGGGACUGGAAUACUUGGUGUAGCAGUGAAAUGCGUAGAUAUCAAGUAGAACACCAGUGGCGAAGGCGAGUCCCUGGAAAACUCCUGACACUGAGGCACGAAAGCUAGGGGAGCAAACAGG
rnacentral:rRNA from 1 species